rnacentral:rRNA from 1 species
UGGGGAAUAUUGCACAAUGGGCGCAAGCCUGAUGCAGCCAUGCCGCGUGUAUGAAGAAGGCCUUCGGGUUGUAAAGUACUUUCAGCGAGGAGGAAGGCGGUAAGGUUAAUAACCUUAUCGAUUGACGUUACUCGCAGAAGAAGCACCGGCUAACUCCGUGCCAGCAGCCGCGGUAAUACGGAGGGUGCAAGCGUUAAUCGGAAUUACUGGGCGUAAAGCGCACGCAGGCGGUCUGUCAAGUCGGAUGUGAAAUCCCCGGGCUCAACCCGGGAACUGCAUUCGAAACUGGCAGGCUAGAGUCUUGUAGAGGGGGGUAGAAUUCCAGGUGUAGCGGUGAAAUGCGUAGAGAUCUGGAGGAAUACCGGUGGCGAAGGCGGCCCCCUGGACAAAGACUGACGCUCAGGUGCGAAAGCGUGGGGAGCAAACA